CGAGUCGGUCAGGCGGCCGCGGCGUACGCCCUCGGGCACGCGUCGAGGAAAGUCCGGACUCCUCAGAGCACGGUGGUGGGUAACGCCCACCCGGGGUGACCCGCGGGACAGUGCCACAGAAAGCAGACCGCCCGUCGGCCUCGGCCGGCGGGUAAGGGUGAAACGGUGGUGCAAGAGACCACCAGCACCCCUGGUGACAGGGGUGGCUCGGCAAACCCCACCGGGAGCAAGACCAAGAAGGCGCCCUCCUGCGAAGGAGGACGCCGCGGGAGCGUUCGAGGGCUGCUCGCCCGAGCUCCCGGGUAGGUCGCACCAGGCCGCUGGCAACAGCGGUCGCAGAUGGAUGGCCGCCCCCUCCGCCUCGGCGGAGGGACAGAAUCCGGCUUACCGACCGGCUCGUCCC
rfam:Friedmanniella sagamiharensis strain DSM 21743 genome assembly, chromosome: I